UACGAAGGGUGCAAGCGUUACUCGGAAUUACUGGGCGUAAAGCGUGCGUAGGUGGUGAGUUAAGUCUGUCGUGAAAGCCCCGGGCUCAACCUGGAAUGGCGAUGGAUACUGGCUCGCUAGAGUGCGGUAGAGAGAGUGGAAUUCCCGGUGUAGCAGUGAAAUGCGUAGAGAUCGGGAGGAACAUCAGUUGCGAAGGCGGCUCUCUGGACCAGCACUGACACUGAGGCACGAAAGCGUGGGGAGCAAACAGG
rnacentral:rRNA from 1 species